rnacentral:tRNA from 2 species
GCCCGGUUAGCUUAGUGGUAGAGCGUUGCACUUGGUAUGCAAAGGUCAUUCGUUCGACUCGGAUACGGGGCA